UACGGGGGGAGCAAACGUUGUUCGGAAUUACUGGGCGUAAAGGGCGCGUAGGCGGUCCUGUAAGUGGUGUGUGAAAUCCGAUGGCUCAACCAUCGAGCUGCGCUCCAUACUGCAGGACUUGAGUACAGCAGAGGAAAGUGGAAUUCCCGGUGUAGCAGUGAAAUGCGUAGAGAUCGGGAGGAACACCAGUGGCGAAGGCGGCUACCUGGACCAGCACUGACACUGAAGCACGAAAGCGUGGGGAGCAAACAGG
rnacentral:rRNA from 1 species